rnacentral:misc_RNA from 1 species
AUCAAAAACAGCAGGACUAUGACUGUAAUAGAAAUAGCUGGUGAAUCACGAGUUCGGCCUACCGCCUCUAGCUGAACGUGUUUUGCCAUAAUGCUAGCAGAGGACAAUCGCUCGCACGAGAGAUUGCCUACCACACGGAUGAUCUAUUGAAGCAAUAGGUCUCGGUCACCGGGUAUCAUGCUUAUAUACUCUGAGAUACAGCUAGUGGGCUUCAUACGUGUUGAUAUCGAGAGUAUUCGCUCUCCCGACCUCAACUCAGGUGUGAUUACCCGCUGAACUUAA